UAAUCCAGUUCUUAGUUGUUUUUUGGACUUUGACAUUCCCAUCCACUGACACCCAGUGACCAGUGUACAGUACUACGGGCACCGUAUACAGGAAUAUGGAAAUCCACAAUGAAAGGGCGGCCCUCUGUCAAGUCGGGUUGUGCGGUACACCGAUGCUGAUAAAGUAAUGAACUCAAAAAGGUACUAUACCGAUACAUGAUGGUGCACCGCGGUGACAUUGCUGGUAAUAGGAGCCGAGGCGCAGGUGAGUCAACACACACACACGGAGCACUUACAAGCGGAGACGGUGUGAAGACAGAAGAGAGAGAAUGGACCCGCUUCAAAACUAAGCUACGAAUGCUUCAGCUGUGUUUUAAAACUUAGCUAGCUAGCGGCUAGCGGCAUUCCACAGUGUUUUACUUGUUUCCUAGUCACUAAUCACUAACAAGUACAUUAUCACUGGAGGACGAGGACUCGCUGAACAUGCUUCACCACACACCGUAGGAGGAUACAAUAGCUCACCGCUAACAGCAUGCGAGCGCUCCAUGUAAACAAAGGGGUGGAUCUAUACAAGUAUCCACUGUAACGAUACCAAGUACAAGAGCAGUAUAAAGUGGGUACUACUAUGAUGACAUAAAGCCAAUGUUUACAUUUUUUUUCUGUAGGGAAAGGUAUCAUUUUGGUAUGUUAUGAUAAAAGAUAGUUAGUAGUGUAAAGUAUGAUUGGUAUGUUAUGAUAAAGUAUGAUUGGUAUGUUAUGAUACAAGACGAUUGGUAUGAUACCGUUCAAUGCCCUGCAGUUUGAUCUUGUGUCUGUGUGACAGGAGCAGUCCUCCACCCCAUGAUGCCUGCAGGGAGAGAGAACAUACCUACUUCUGCAAGGAUGCAAGCCUCCAGUUCUUCUGGAAUCAUUUUCCCUCUGAAAAGAAGAGGAAGGUGUCUUACCUGGCUGCUCCGUGUCCAUACCUGCUCCUGAAGGUGCGUGACAGCAGGUCACAUGACUGUUAUUCAUAUAUAAUAAUGGGAUGAACGUGGAAGUGAAAAGGAAAGUCACCUGCAACAACAACAAC